GGAGAAAUACUCAAGUGGUCGAAGAGGUGCCCCCUGCUAAGGGUAUAGGUCGUUCACGCGGCGCGAGGGUUCAAAUCCCUCUUUCUCCG
rnacentral:tRNA from 1 species